UAACUUGAGAGUUUGAUCCUGGCUCAGAAUCAACGCUGGCGGCGUGCCUAACACAUGCAAGUCGAACGCGAAAGUGGAGCAAUCCAUUAGUAGAGUGGCAAACGGGUGAGUAACACGUGGGCGACCUACCUCAGAGUGGGGGAUAACCUUCCGAAAGGAGGGCUAAUACCGCAUGACAUCCCGUGUUUGGAUACACGGAGAUCAAAGCCGGGGAUCGCAAGACCUGGCGCUGGGAGAGGGGCCCGCGUCCGAUUAGCUAGUUGGUGAGGUAAUGGCUCACCAAGGCUCCGAUCGGUAUCCGGCCUGAGAGGGCGGACGGACACACUGGAACUGAGACACGGUCCAGACUCCUACGGGAGGCAGCAGUGGGGAAUUUUGCGCAAUGGGGGAACCCUGACGCAGCAACGCCGCGUGGAGGAUGAAGCCCCUUGGGGUGUAAACUCCUUUCGG
rnacentral:rRNA from 1 species